rnacentral:lncRNA from 1 species
CACAAUUGCGAAAAACCCCCUGCAGUUCAAACUGCUCAAAAACUGCCACUGCGUACCGGUACACGGGCCCACGUACUGGUACAUAUCCCACGAAAAUGCCAAACCCGAGCCUCGGGUUGGCUGGAAAGCUGCCUGUGUACCGGUACACCAUUCCGUACCGGUACAACCAUCAGCCCUGUAUCGGUACAGCCAUCAACCCUGUACCGGUACACAGUCUAAAGAAGGCUACCCGAGAGCUAACCAAAAAU